CAAACUUGUCCGAACUAUGCUCUCGUUGUCUGCGUUGCUUGCUUGCCUCCUGGAAUCAUCAAUCUCUGAUACGGUUCCUAAGAUUCUUUCUCUCGCGCUCAACUGCUUGUGGCGUCUAUCAUUACUUGUGGACUUGACAAAUUCAGUCCAACUUCUGGCGCUCUACAGUUAAUUAAGAGUCUCCCCAAUUUGAGUGAACUUGAGAUUAGGGUCUGUUCUACCAGAGACAAUGCUGAAGCAGUUUCAAAAUAUUUGAGCACACCAUUCUGCUUGGACCGAUCGCUCAACAAGCUCAAACGUGUGGUCAUACAUAGGUUCAUGGGUUCAAAAACUGAAUUUCUUUUUAUAAAGUUAUUGCUUGCUCGCACUCCAUCUUUGGUAAGGAUGAUAGUUAAGCCAUUGAGAGACUUUGUCUGCGGAGAAUGUAAUAUCACCACAAAGUUGACGAGUUUCCCGCGUGCAUCUCCGGAGGCUGAGAUUUUUUAUUCUCCAUACCAAUCUUAAGUUCCAGCCAACAGUUAGGGUUGAUCUCCAGUACAAAGUUUGUAUUUUGACGCCCCCUGCAUUGACACUAUGGGAAAAUAGUCAAGUAAAUGCAUCAGUGGUUGGAAAAAGACUGCCAAAUAUAUAUAGCUCAUCAAAAGUAAGAGAUUUUAUCUAUGUUCCAAAAUGGAACUUACCUUUGAUUUGGAACCUGCCACUUUAAGUUUCUGCUGGUCUGUUUUUUGGUAAAUAGAAUUUAUCUCUCACUUUGACUUGGUAAGAAUUGGAAGUCUGUAUUGCUUUAAUGUGAAACUGCUGCUUUUGAAAUCUAAGUGGAGUCUCAAGUUACUAGCUGUA